rnacentral:lncRNA from 1 species
GAAACCCAAUCAACAGCUGUACAAAAACCUCCUGCACUAAAACUAACACUGACAUCAACACUAACACUCACAAUAAAACACUGUAUCUUAGGUCAGUUUGUUUAGAUAGGUCAAACAUUUUUAUUGCAUUAAUGUUAAUUAAUUAAAUGCUUCAAAAUGUAUUUUGAUCAUUUUUGAGGUAAAUUCCAGGAUGCAUCUGAAAGUGUUUUGGAAAGUGUUUUGCAUAUUAACUGAACACUGCUCUUAAAACUCCACUGAUGAUUAUUAGUGUGUGACACUGACACACACACAGAAGAAACAAUGAUUUCUCUUAUUCUAAUGCUGGGGACACUCUGUUUGCUUGCUCAAGUGUCUCAUGAAGAGGUUCAGUCUCCUGAGUCUCUGUCUGUUAAAGCAGGAGAAUCUGUCUCUAUCAGCUGCACUGGGACCAGCGGAGUUGGUGAUGACAUGAGCUGGUAUCUGCUGAAACCUGGAGAAGCUCCUAAACUCCUCAUCCAUGAUGCCAGUCAAUUGUAUUUUGAAGUAUUAUAAUAUUUGUUUUUGCACUCUCUCUCAGUGUCUCAUGAAGAGGUUCAGUCUCCUGAGUCUCUGUCUGUUAAAGCAGGAGAAUCUGUCUCUAUCAGCUGCACUGGGACCAGCGGAGUUGGUGAUGACAUGAGCUGGUAUCUGCUGAAACCUGGAGAAGCUCCUAAACUCCUCAUCCAUGAUGCCAGUCAACUUGUAUCUGGAAUCUCAGAUCAGUUCAGUGGAACUUAAUCUGGAUACGUAUUUACACUGAACAUACGUGGAGUCCAGCCUGAGGAUGCAGGAGUUUAUUACUGUAUGGGGUUUUAUAGUAGUGGAGUGUGCACACAGUGAAACAACAUCAUACAAAAACCUCCCUCAGUCUGACAGCUAAGAGAAUAUGAGAACAAUUUCAGCCAAGUUUCCCUGUAUAAUUAAACAACACACUAAUGAAGAUUUUUUUAAAGUAUUCAAUCUGUUCAAUCAAAAGUAAUUACCACACAUGAAAAAUAUAUUUAUACAGGAAAAUAUAUUUAACAGGAAUUUGUUAAGCCUUAACCUAAAUAUAACUCUUUUGUCUAUUCUUAAAAUUACUUAACAACAAAGACCAACAAGGAUGCUGAUCUAGGAUCAAGUUCAAAAUGGCAAAAUCAUGAUGACCGCAGUCCUUCUGCAGUACAUUGGCACUGGUCACUGACUUCCAGAAUCACUGACUGACAACAGCAAACAAGGAUAGAGAAAGGAGAGAAACUGGGAAGUUUCUUAAAAACAUUUCUUUCAGUCUCUGUAAGUGUCUUUCACUUCUCUUGCACCUGAAAAGUUAAUCAAACACAUCUGAGCCCAACAGCCCAUAAAAACAGCUUUCAGCUCAAUUCAAGUACAGCCAUUUAUUUGGUGUUCAUAUUUUCAGGUUAAACAGAUCUAGACCACACCUGAGCUGUGAUGUUGAAAGGGGUGUGUCGAUGUGAAAUAUGGCAGCAGACAAGUAUGUUGUGAAAGCUAAUAAGAUCUUUAUUUUUUAUUUUAAAUGUUUUAUUUUUUUAAAUUUCAAGACAAAAUGUACAAAAGAGCUUAAAAAUAACACAAUAUUCCCUAAAAAUGUAGUUACAUAUUAAGUGAAAUUUUUUAAUAGAAGUACUAGCAACAAAUAAGUUUCCAAUAUUAAACUUUUUUUUUUUUUUUAUAAUUCUGAUGGUAAUUUCUGUAAUAAAUAAAUAAAUCUUUAAGUGCAACUAAUCUUAGUUUUCACAUUUCUCAGGUCUUUUUAGUGGAAUAAAUGUAAUCAGCCAUUUUAAAGUGUCUUGUGAAUCUCACACAAGUAAUGCUGACUUAAGUAAGUUACAAGUAAAAAUAGAAAAAGUAUUUAUCUCUGUGUGUAUGUGUGUGUGUGUCAUUACAAACACAAAAGAUUAUUAUCACAAAAAUAUACAGUAUAACACUUGAAUAAUUAUUGUUGAUUAUUUCCAUUCUUUUCAGAUUCUGCAAUAUACCUUCCAGCACUUAGUUUUGCUCUGUAAUGACAAAUAAGGGGCAUGAAAUUGCAAACAGUGUCCAGCCUCCAGCUGAAUAAUUGUAAAAUAAGGAACAGAUUUUCGAAACUUCUGGUCAUAUAUGGUGCUUUGCAUAGACAGCAACAGUGAUCUGAAAAUGUUUAUAGGUCUGUUGAACUUUUCACUGAGCUUCUGUUCAUGAUAGCAGAUCUAACAGCCAACAUGACUUUGUUCUCUUUUAUCAUUUGGACACUCUACAGCAUGAAAGGUAAAAGCUGUUAUUGUUACAUGUGAUCUUUUAAAUGUAAUUAUAUUUCAAAGAUAUAAUAUAAGUAAUAAUAUAAUAUAUGAAAUACUAAUCUGUGCUGUCAU